rnacentral:lncRNA from 1 species
GGAAAAAAAAAAUGAUUGGCAACAGAUGUUAGCUCAGGGCCAAUCUUUAAAAAAAAAAAUGCAGGCUAUAUUUGAUAUAGUAUUAUUGCAUAAAUGGUAAAUUUCUCGUGUCUGAUAACAUGGUCCCCAUUUUUGUUGAGCCAGGAUAAUUCUCAAAGCUCUUGGUGUUAGGAUCUCUUUGCACUCUUAGAAGUUGUUGAAGAUUCCAAAGAGCUUUUGUUUAUAUGGGUUAUAUAAAACCAUAUUUACAGAAGUAAAAGUUAAAGCAGAAAUUAAAAAAAAUAUUUAUUCAGUCAUUUAAAAAUAACUACAUUUUCCAAAACAAAAAACUUACCGAGAAGCGUUGCUUUGUUUAUGUUUUUGCAUAUCUCUUUGUGUCUGACUUACUGGCAGUAGCUGGAUUCUCGCGCUCGCUUCUGCAUUCAGUUUGCUGCUGAAGUUUGUUUUGGUUGAAGUAUAUGAAGAAAAUCCAGCCUCACAGAGACAUGUACCUAGAAAUGGUCAGCUGGCCAGUUGUACGAGGUCCACACUGCUCCUCCCACAAACAGCCACAUGGCGUCAUGUAGUUCUUCUCAUCCACGGUGAAGCAGUGAUAAAUUCCUGCAAGAAGAGUUAUCAUGUCUCCUUUCUCCAUGAAAAUCUGGAUCCACUAGUCCUCUUACAUCAAAGUGUCCGCUGCCCUCCAGGAUGCAGCAAAUCUUACAUCCGAGUGCAGAUGCUCCUUCCUCAUAAAACACCUCCAUCUUUUUUUCACAAUUUGGCAGUUUAUCUUUGCAUAUGGCUCUUAUGUCCAUCUAGGAGUAGUUCCUCUUUUCAGAUCUGUUCUAAUUCUGGAUCAUUCUCAUAUUUGUCAGCUUCCAGUAAAGGACUCUGAGCUGGCACAGCUGCUCCAGGCACAGCGGGCAGCAGUGGCUCCAGGCUGUGGGGCCACGUCAAGUCGUCCUGGGACUGGUUCAUGUACCAGCGCUGCACCAUGGUCCAGGCCUGAGGGGAUGUAUGUGGGCGUGGUGGGCACCCUAAGCACCAGGGGUACCCUGACUUGCAUGGGCUGCUCACAGGACAAGGUGAGGCCCCAUCCAGGGCAUUCUUUUACUAUAACAAAAUGUACAAGUGAUAGUUUCUCAAAGGUUAAUUGCAACGUGGAAUCUGAAACAUCUAUGCACCUUUCCUACUCUUGUCACAUUCAAAUACAUUCUUUUUUUUUCUUUUGAGGAAGAUUAGCCCUGAGCUAACUGCUGCCAAUCCUCCUCUUUUUGCUGAGGAAGGCUGGCUCUGAGCUAACAUCCAUGCCCAUCUUCCUCUACUUUAUA